rnacentral:rRNA from 1 species
AGUGACGAUAGCCUAGGAGAUACACCUGUACCCAUGCCGAACACAGAAGUUAAGCCCUAGAACGCCGGAAGUAGUUGGGGGUUGCCCCCU